rnacentral:tRNA from 2 species
GGCUCCAUGGUCAAGCGGUUAAGACAUCGCCCUUUCACGGCGGUAACAGGGGUUCAAAUCCCCUUGGAGUCACUA